GUUGAUGCAACUAUGAAUUGGAAUUAUUUUUACAAGGUGGUAUUUUCUAUAAUCAACCAAUUAUGCAAUUUUAUACUGCUAGUUCACACCAAGUUCAGAAAAGCUGUAGCUUUUUACUGGUCCUAAACUGGCAAGAGGAAGGGUGUUUCAGGGAUUGGUACCUGUGCCAGUCUCAAGUAGGUGGUGUCGGACAGUUAGUCUGAUAAUCCAGACAAUUCUGUGGCCCUCUCUGGUUUUCUGUAGGCCUUUAAAGAAGUUGAACACAAAACAUUUCUGGAGAGAGGCUAAAUGCUUUGAAACAAAUUCCGAGAGUCAGAAAGUCAAGAUUCCUGCCAUUCUAUUUGUCUGCAAGUUUAGCUUUUAAUGAUGGGUUGCAUGACACUUAAUCUUUCAAAAUCAACACAUUGAUCAAUUGUUUUGCUGUCUUUUUUCCAUCUUGGCACUCGAUAACGUUAUCUGGUAUAGCUGUUGUAACGUUUAAUGACUUCUUCCCUUCUCUCCUGUCAAUUCCCCUCUUCCCCUUCCCACCCAAAAAAACCAAAACCAGGAAGUUUUGGGAAACCAGUGUUUUUUUCAUAGUAUCAGUAGCUUGGAAUUUAAACAAUCAGACUUACAUCACUCCUGUUGAUACUUUAAUAUGCAUGUCAUGUUGGUGCUAGUUUCCAGGAGAAAGAUGCUUUGCUAAAAUUUGUUGUUCUUCCAAUGUUUAUUUUGAAUAACAGUUCAACUGGAUCCUGGUGCAUAGAUCCUGCAGCGGGUUUGCAGCCUGCACGUAUUUCUAGAGGUAUGACUAACGGCAGCAGGGGAACAACUUCUUAACCUAGAACAAGUUUCAUUUUAGGAACUGCGAGUACUCCAUAUGGCUAGUUGCACUUUAAAUCUAAAAUAAUUGCAUGAUGCUUUAUGAUUUCAGUUGGAGGGUUGAGAAAUAGUUGAUCUAGCCGUGGGUAACAUGAAUCGGAUGUGGCAGUUUGUGUUUUGUUUCCAUGUUCUUUCAGUUGGGUCUUGCAGUUGUUGGAGCUGCAGCAUUAAAAAUAAUAAUAAUAAUAAUAAAGUAUUGUUGCUUAUAGUCUAUACCAUUUACCAAAUACACAGACUCAGUUUUUUGCUUAUUUUGCAGAUGCUAUUUUGUAGAAUUUACUCACAAUUGUUUAAACUUUUCUUUACUGGCUGUGGAGCAGAAGCACACUGAUGCGGAAAGCUGGGGAUCGCUCUUCGCUGGCUCUUGAAUUAGUGAGUAGCAGUGAAACCUGCUAUGUAGACAAGGAAGGUGGAAGAAAGCACUAAAGGGAGUUUUCCUCCCAGAAUAUCUAUCAACAGUCAGGUCACUAUGGAAAGGCAUUGCAGAGAUUCCUUCCUUUGCCCAAAGAUGAGAACACUGAUUGUAGGAUUCCUUACCUUCUUCUGUACGCUCAGGAACAGAACUACCAGUGCCUUUCCUGACUUCAUGUAUAUCUGAAGAUCAUCAACUUAAGUUGUUUUUGUGUCAUCACAGCCGUAAUUUCUUCCUGCUCCAACUAGAAAGAUCCCAUCACAGCCUGCACUUGAGGUAAAUCAGCAAACUCUACAGUACAGUGACUGAGAAGAGCUUUGUAUAUUCAACUCCUUAAGUUGGCUUAACAUCCCAUCUCAGUAGCGUGAAUCACGUCUGGUGAUUGAUGUGAGGCAACAAAAAAAAACCAGCCCACCUCUCCCAAAAUUCUUGUAGGGGAGAUGUACAUACUUUGGAUGGUUUAUUCUAGACAUCUUUUCCAUUCUUUUAAAUAUUUAGAAGAGCACAGGAGUGUUUAUUAGCAUUUCUCCUGUCAAAAUGCAGGAAGAUGUAGUUGUUUCAGCCUGAAAUACAUAUCUGAAUAUAGAAAUCAAUCAGGCUAGUAUUUGUGAUAGAAUGCAAAGAUUACCAACCUCGUUUAUUCUUUGGAGUUCAAGAAAAGUCUGUUCAAGGGAAGAAAGAUGUAUGAAAGGAUAAAAACUAGAAGUAAAAGGUUUUCCCUUUCUUGGAAAAGGAGAGAUAUUAUGCCCUUGAUGUAAGGAAAGGGAUUUAAAAACAAAUGAUUCCUAACAGCAUGUUUCAGCUUGAUCUUCCAGAAACUGUUUUGUUGUUAGCCUCUUUCCAUGAGGAAAUCACUAAUUGACAAUGUCCUCAUAAAUGCUUUUUUCCCCACACUUAAAUUUUACAUUGUUUCUUUGUCUCUUCUGCUGAAAUGCUACAUCAGUAGAAUAAGACCAUGCAAUCCACUCUUCUCCAUCUCUGAAACUUCAAUAGGCGAUUUUGAUUUCGUACUGUGCAGUAUAUUAAAGGUGAUCUGGAGUCUUUUUCUGGUGGAUAGGAUCUUUCCCCAGUGAAAGAGCAUUUCUCAAAGGCAGCCUUAUCUUGAUACUUCAGAGGCCCCAGGCAGAUUCCUGUGUGAAAGGAACCUGCUAUAAGCUGGGUCAGGCUGCUUCCUCUUGGUUGAUUUGCUCUGAUAACCCUCUGUUACUUUGAGCUGGAAAAGAAUAUUGACUUCAGAAGUGUUAGUAGUGUUUGUAGGCUUCAACACAUCACCUGAAAUCAAGCCUAUAAUGCUGUAUCUGGCAUUGUAGUUAUGAAUUAUAGGUAACAAGUAUUAGCAACUUGAAAAGUUCCUGAGAUUCAAGGUAUUGCAAGUUAUCUGAUAAAAAAGAACCUUAUUUUCACAAGGGAAUCUUAAGAAGAAAGGUACUGUCAAUUAUACUGUCCUUUUAUGACAGUUUCUUAGCCAGGAAUUACACAGCAGUAGAAACUUGCAUUGAAUGUGUUCUGUUUAUUAUAUUUUUCUCUUUUAUUUUUGUCUUGUAUCCUCUAUCUUACUGGAAGAGGAGAGUAUAAAUGUCAUCCUGGAGACAUCUGUUGGCCAAGUGCAUUUAUGUGUGUUGGUCAGUUAUUCUUUCCAAACAGAAAGAUCUUCUUUCACAAAAACACGCAUGUGGAAUGAAAAAACUGAACCUGGCUCUCUAAAGCUGAUCUGAAAUAAUCAAAAAAGCGACGUUAUGUCAAAUUGAAGGCACAGGAACACAUCUUGGUCUCAGGUUGUUGGAAAAAAUCAUGAAAUUCCACUAAAAGAAAAUUUCUUCUAUUUUUUUAAUUAAAUAGUCUUGCUAUUUAGAGCAAAACCUCUUACCUUAAAUUGAGAUACCAUCACCAUAUUCAGUGUCCUCAGAGGAACCAAGAAGCAGAGUCUCUUUCUGCAUGCCCAAGCAGUUUCUGUGGUAGAAACGUGCUGAUUUUUCUGUUUUAACUACUGUAGGAUAUCAGAUUCUGUCCUUGAUGGCUUUAUCCAUCACCUCUUUGGAAAAAAAAAAAAAAAAAAAGAGGACAUCCUGCUGUCUGCUACUCCUUAACUGCAAAAAUUACAGUUGCCUUUAAAAAAAAAUACAUCAUCAUUGCUUUGGUUUUAAUGACAAAACCUAGCUUUUUUUCCAACUUCUCCUUGUACUAUUUGGAGCACAAUGAAGGAAAGUUUCUUUGGGGAGGGGAGAGCUUAUAAUUACAGGCCACAUGAGAUAAACAAAACAGCUUUAUAUGGUUAGGUAAGUGUGUGCUCUAAAGGAGAGGAGGAAGAAACACCACCAAAAUUAUCCCAAAAUGAAUUAAGUGAAAUUGCAUCAAACAUAAUGAGUAGCAUACCUUCUUGAUUAACUAUUGGGUUGUACUUUGCCUGGUGUCUUGAGAGCAAUGAAGAGCACUGCAGGUAAAAUGAUAGUGCCUCAUCUCAGGCAUGCAGCUCAGUGGCUCCCUACAUGCAAAUACCAGGCACUGUUGCUGUUGUGCAAAAAGGUAUUGCAAUGGAUAGUAACCAGGAAAUGCAUACACAAGUGGCUAUGCAUAUAUGUUGUGUUUUAAGUCCAAUGACUUCUGGUUCUUUUUUGUUGCAUGUUGGCUCCAUGUGGCUGAUAAAAUUUCAAAGGAGUCUAUCCUUGCACGAUUGGCAAAGGAGAAAAUUUCAGUGCUCUUAUGCAUUAUAUUUUUAUUGUUCAAGUAAUGACAAUUAACUCCUAGGAUAUCUAGGUUUUCAGGAAAAAGAGGAAUAUUCUGGAAAUCCAGAUUGCUUCCACAGCAAUCAUAAUGUGCCUAGGUUAAGUCAGAGGUUGUCACAAGAGCAUUAAACUGCUCUCAGAAUUUGAUCUCAUUUUGUGAAUAGAGCAGAAGACUUGAGAUUGAAGUCAAGCCUUUACAGUGAGUUGUAGGUGGGGUUAGGAAGUCAUUGGUGAGGGAAACAUUCAGGUAAGUAUGACUGUUUCUUCUUAAAGAGAUUAUGGGAGACGUUCACUGCAUUGCAAUAGAUGCUAUUUUUAAUUCACUUGUGAGAAAGUGAAGAGAGGAAAGAUUUGGAUUUUUUUUUUCCAAGAAAUGAGCACUUAAAUGUUUCUAAUUUUUUUCCCCCUCCACCUACAUCUACUUGUAACAAACUGAGAGAACUUUCUGGACGAAGCAUCUUAUGAUUGAUCUCAUCUAUUGGUAGAUGUCUUAAAAGUCUUGAAAGUUCACAGCUCAACACUUUGGGGUUUUUUUUGGCAUCAGAGCAUGAAAAAAACCUGCAUGUCUAGUACUCAUCUCUUGUCAUCCCCCCCUCUAUUGCAGUGACUAUGUGUAUGUCUCUGUGUGGCAGAAAAAUGAGGGAAUGCAGAUCAUGAUUCAAGAAGUUACCAACUAGCACUUUUCCUUCCCCUCCAGUCUUUCUGCCUCCCUAUCCUGGAAGUAUGGAGUCCCUGCCUCAGCCUACGGCUUCAUUCUUUUUCCAGCUGCCCACAAAAGUAAAGAACCAAUGUGAGAGUUUGAAGAAAGAAUCCGCUCAGAGGACUGAGUCUCAAGCAAAAGCUCCAGGUUGCAGACUCAGAAAGAAACUUCCUUUGGGGAAGGAUCUGCUUCCAGGAUUUGCUCGUCUCUUUUUCCUUGGGCAAACAGAGUUCUUGAAGCAAACAACAGGGUUGCAGGACACCUUCUAACCUUUAUACUGCAUCACAAGCCUUCAGCAGAAGAUCUUGAGAGCCAUUUAUGUUGCUGGAAGAUGACUGGGUUUGGAUCUUGGCCUUCCUUAAGCAGGAUCUCCUGACAAAAAUGGGAUUGGGAAAGAAAUGACUCCUUUUUCCAUCACACAGAGCCACCCUAGAAAUGGAGGCCUAGGCAGAAAAUUACUUCUAAAUGCAUCAUUCCUUAGGAAAUUUGUUUGGCCUCCCAUGGUCCUUUGGUCACAAUGUCAUAAAGAUGUCUUUUAUAAAAGCUAAACCUGGCAUCUUCCUAUCUGAAGAUCAAGUCGGUAAAACCAAAUUUAAGAGUUUACAGGUCUGAUAAUGUGAUUGGAUCUUGCUGUCCCCUGCAUAGGAGAUGCCACGUGAAUCUGUGAAACAGGGUUCUGCUGUGGUUCAGACUGUUAUAUUUGUAAAGCCUUUUCUACUUAUAGUCCGUUUAAAUGAUUAGAAAUAAUAUUAAUAAAGCUUCUUGUGAAAAUGGUAUUUAAUUAGGAAAAAUGUCGCAAUGGCAAUAUGGGAAGUUUCUGCAUCUUUUGAGGUUUCCUGUGGUUUUGUGUUGAGAAAAGGUACAUUUGAGAGCUAUGAAAGUGGAAAAAUCUUAGAUUUUUCUUUAAGAGUGAAAAGUUAUUUGUUAGAAAGCAGAAAGCUUUAAUUGUUUACCCCCUAAGGGGAUUCUAUAGUCAAACUUAAUUAAAUGUCUUGCGAGAUCUCAAAUAAAAACCUUAUGUUUGGCAGUAGUGAACAACACACGCGCAUGCCCAUGUACUCUUGUUCUUUUUGCUGUAGGAAAUCAGUUUUGAAGAAUAGGACUUACUUUUAACGUUCAGAUUUGAAAAGGUAAAAGCUUUGUUCUGAAGCUGAGUGUGAGAAGGGGUGGCAGGAGGGUGAACCGGACCCUCUGGCAGUAGGUAAAGAGCAGUUUUAUUUUCCUGUUCUCUGCUUCAGGCAGUUGGAGUAAACUAGUCAGAUGCUUGUGCUUGAAUCCAAUUAAUUUCUUAAAUCGGUUACCACAAAACAUUGUUUUUUAACCGAUGCCUAGAUCUUUCAUUAAAUUCACCAGCGUAUUUAAAUUGUUGAACAGUUUUAACGUAGCCCUGAGGCUACUGCUUCAUGGCAGUUGGGACUCUUUACUAUGCUGGAAUGCAUUGCAGUCUUAGUACAUUCUAAAAAUAAUUGUUCAGAUGGUGCUGUUUAAGUACAUACUUAUGUAGUGAGCCAUUUUCACUGGACUUACUGAAAUUUGGCUAUCUGUUGGAUGGCUUUUUAAUACCCUUUUUUUGCUGUGAAUAUCAAAGGUCUUUGUCUUGCUGCUUCUGUGGUUAUUGAGUAAAAUGCUAAAUUUAUAACCUGGUAUUUUUAGAAAACUGAUAGUUGGAUGCAUGUGUUAAACUAUGCAACCACGGUAACACUUAUGAACUUUGAAGUUUAAAGAGAAAGCACUUUAAUGUAUCAAGUUCAAUACUUAUUUUUUUAAAUACAUGGGUAUAUGUACGUGAUUACCUUAAAAUUGAGUAGUUGUUAAAGGUACAGACAUGCAUUGUGUGCUGAACAGGACUAAUCUAGAAGUUAUAAGCUGAAGAUCUGGUCUCAGGAAUGAAUACUAACACCUGUGGCUAGGGAGCUGUACCAGCAGUGCUUUUAGUUGAAAAUACCUGUUUUUCUAACUUGUAGUCCUUUUAAGGUUUUAUUUCUUUUGUGCCUUUCUUAAUAGGUAUACUUGCCUCAGCCACAGUUUUUGGUCAUUUUGUCCUGUAGUACAAAGUAAAUUUAAGACCAUCAAAUACUUGCAAAAAUACUUGUAGUAAAAUAAUAGGGGCACUGAGGACAGUUCCUGAUGUUAUUGUCUCAGUUGCUAAAAUGACUUUACUCCCCACCUCCUCUCCAUAGGCACAAUUAAAAAAAAAAAAAAAACCAAAAAAAAAAACAAAACACCAAACCAAACCCCCUGUUGCUGUUCUA